rnacentral:rRNA from 1 species
GAUGAACGCUGGCGGCGUGCCUAAUACAUGCAAGUCGAGCGAACGGACGAGAAGCUUGCUUUUCUGAUGUUAGCGGCGGACGGGUGAGUAACACGUGGAUAACCUACCUAUAAGACUGGGAUAACUUCGGGAAACCGGAGCUAAUACCGGAUAAUAUUUUGAACCGCAUGGUUCAAAAGUGAAAGACGGUCUUGCUGUCACUUAUAGAUGGAUCCGCGCUGCAUUAGCUAGUUGGUAAGGUAACGGCUUACCAAGGCAACGAUGCAUAGCCGACCUGAGAGGGUGAUCGGCCACACUGGAACUGAGACACGGUCCAGACUCCUACGGGAGGCAGCAGUAGGGAAUCUUCCGCAAUGGGCGAAAGCCUGACGGAGCAACGCCGCGUGAGUGAUGAAGGCCUUCGGAUCGUAAAACUCUGUUAUUAGGGAAGAACAUAUGUGUAAGUAACUGUGCACAUCUUGACGGUACCUAAUCAGAAAGCCACGGCGAACUACGU